CAGUAAAUUGAGUAUUUCUAUCGAUUCCAGAAAUAUUAACUUGGUUUUACACAUUUGCCAACUAUGUAUAGUGACUUGUAAACGUUUAUUGUAAACGAGAAUAAUGCGAUAUGUCAUAUGUCCCUUGAAACUUGUUUCAGUAAUCAAAGAGACCUGAAAAUAAAUAGAAGGGAAAUAAUUUGCGUUAAGCCAAGUUUUAAUGUACUGAUGUGAUUGUACAACAUUACUUCUUCAGAUGGAGCAUAUGAAAAUACAACUAAUUUUCGGAGGAUUCUUUGCUUUUGAUCCUGAAUCAUUUCUUGCAGGAAUUAAGAGCUCAUCCACUUUCAUGAUGUUCUUCUUACAAAUGAACAAUUCUUAAGUAAAAAAAAAAGAAAGACGAUAGAGUUGUGAAUAAUUUCGCACUUCGUAAAUAAUCCUUGAUAAUUAUUGAUUAUUAAGGCGGAAUUCAUAGGAAUUCAAACUAGAUAAGUAAAUGAUAUUCAGUCGCAUAACACCUGCCGUUAUGCGUCUUCAUUUACUUAAUUUCGUAUUACUUUGAAUAUCAGCCCUUCAAUAUCAAUGAGAAUAUUUAGUUAUAGUAGAUCGGCCAACUCCUCGUAGAGGUACAAUUCUGUUCAGUAUCUACACAAAACUGAGAUGUAACUUUUGAGAACUGAAAAUCUCAUGUUCAGCUGAAAUUUCAUUGAAGCUAUCAACACUGAAAUUCAAGAGCUCCUCAAAACUCGCUAGUACGUUCAGUGCGAUAGGUCUUUGUUCAAAUAGCUUGCUCCAAGAUACUGGUGGUACGUCAUUUUUGCUCCAGAAGAUACAUAUCUCACAUAUAAUUCAAACAGUGCUCAUUUUCAAACAGGUUCCCUGAAAAUGUGAUUGGAGGAAAUGUGGGCUAGAAUGA